GAUUCUCCCCUCACUUUCGGGGCAACCCUACCCUCGGCCCUGGGCCCUGGCAAAUAAGGCUGCUUUCUGCCACUGCAGUUUCGUCUCUUCUGGAGAGUCCUAUAAACAGAUUCAUAGACUCCUAGAGCCUUUCACAAGGCCUCCGCUUUGGAGAUUCACCCAUGAGUAUUGAAUCUGCUCUCCAUUUGCUCAGACUGCGGCCCACCGACCUCUAGGUCACCUGGAGAGCACGCAGACAUGUUUAUUCCUGAUGUUCUCCGCAGACCUGCCUAGCCGAUCUGAGACACAGCAGGAGGACUCCAAUUUCUGACGAGAUGGAGACGCAGGGCCUACACCAUACUGGAGCCUGGAGACCAUGGAAAGGUUUGGUUUUAUCCCUCAGGGAGCGGGUAGCCCUGUAAAAGGCAGACAGAGUCUCCAUGGGCUUUGGGACUUGUCAUGGCCUAGAAGAAAUCUCACUCCAUCUGACUGAAGUAAUGGACAAAAGUGAUUUUACACAAGGCCUUUUCUCCUAACUCCUUUUUCCCUCUUAAUCUCAGAAUUAUCAGCCUUUGCUGUAAAUCUUAUUUGCUGAGGACAAAGUUGAUCUGGUUGGGGAGGUUUCCUACAAGUCCUACUUUUGUUUCACUGUCUUUCCUUUCCUCGUUUACUCAUUCUCACAACCACCAUGGCUGCCUUCCGACGACGUUCCUGUCCAGAAGACUGAGCAGCAGGAGCUCAGCCUGAAGGGGAAAGCGGACAGGGAAGACGAAAGUACCCAGAGCUCUCAGAAAAAUGGCGCCAUGCGAGUCGGUUUCCCUAGGCUGUUUCCAGCUUUCUUUUCCUUCCAUCGUCCUUGCCCUUCCUCCCUCCCUCCCUCCCUUCUUUCCUUCCCUCUGCCCUCUUUUCCUCUCCCCCUUUCUUUUCCCUCUUCCUUUUUCCUGUUUCUUCUAUCUUCCUGCACAGCCUUCCUUUUUGUCCCCGUAGUAGAUGUCUGCUGUGAAUUUUAUUGGAUGCCUCUUUUGUCAACAUUGUGAAUGUGGUCUUGUGGAUUUUCAAGUGCAUGUGUGACCAAUUCAUUCCUACCCCAAACUGAAUAUUAAGAAUGAAUCAUUAUCAAACAAAUUAAGAUUUCAAUGAUAUUUUGUCAAAUCACUUGUAAAAAUUUCCCUCUCCAUUUAUGCUGUCCUUUUAGCAAACAAACGUCUGCCUUUCUAACACUGAAAGCUAUAAUCAAGCCUCUGGAUCAUGGGAAGUUAAAUGCAAUGAGGAAAAUGCCACCUCACAGGAAAAGAAGCUGAAUUCCAGACGAAUUCCAUUCUUUGGGGGAACAUUAGGCAUUUUUUUUUUUGUCUUUUGCAUUAGAAUCUCUCCCAAUUUCAUAGAUUCUGUUAAAAUUGCAGGACUUUUCAUAAAUCACUUAGUACUAUGACUUCUCAUCUUUUUUAAAGCAGUGGUACCCAUUUUUCAGAAACACAAUUAAAAUAUUAGAAUGACAAAUUGUGCUUUGGGAACUGAAAGGUGCAGAAUGUAUGAUUUGUUGAUUCCUUGCCUCUAUCAUCUGCUAAUAAAUUAGAAAUGGGUUCAGCAGAACCCACUUUUAGAACCACAGGUUUUAGCUGACUGGUGACUGCAGCUGACUGUUGCCCUUGGGGCUGCACCUUCAGUGGGACCCCUCCAGGCUGCUGCAUGGUACGUCCAGCCCAAUGUCGUGGAAACUCACUGCAUCUUCCUUCCCUGCCCCAGGUCCUGCUAGUCUAACAAGAUGUAUUCUCAGAAAGCAGGCUGGAAGGAGAGGC